AGAUGUCAACUCGCGCUAAUUACCAGAUUGCCCUCUCCUCGGCCGCGGCGACGAAUCCCCUUUCCGCGGCGCCGCCGCCGCUAGGUGCCAUACCGUCGAUCUUCUCCGGCGGCGCCGAAGCACGCCGCGUCGAAGUCCUCUCCUCUCCUCCGUCCUCUCCCCUCUACUGGUUCGGCGGCGGCGCGGAGCGGAGAUCUCCAUCCGGGCCGAUUCGGUGAUUCUUCCUUCGGUUCGGCACAAAAUAGUCCUGAAAGAAAUAUUUGGCCUAGUGGCGCCGCCCUGCUGGAACUCUAAGACCACUCUUUUCCCAGACGCAGUAAUUGUUGCCGUGAGCAACGACAUGGAAGUCUGACGGGAUCAAGUUGCCCACAUCAUACCGAGUCCCAAUCUUUGUGAUCACCUUGUCAUCGAUCAUGGCGACGUAGACAUCUCCGUCAGCAGCAAGGAUGUUCAGCUUGCUCCCAGGAUGAAUUCCAUUUCUUGACCUCACCGCGGCCAAUGUGCUGAUCUCCUGCUUCAAGUUCCAGUCAAACACAUGGUCGUAGAACUGUACAGACAGACGGAAUGUUAGUUCGAGAUUAUGGUUAACAAAUAUCGAUUUCUGAUAGCGAUGGAGAUUAUCAAGCUGAGCACUCACAAUGCAGGGUACUCCAGGGUGUGUGAGGAUGUAGGCGUAGCCCUGCAUGACCUUGUCGGAGGGGAACGGCCAUGAGUUCUGUGUGGAGCCAGUGUCAUGAUUGUCGAUGAAGGUGACAGCCUUCUCCGGCAGCCAGCCAAUCAUCCCCGGCGCCUUGCCGUUGCCAUCCUUCAUCCGCCACAGCUCACCUUGCACCGCUGCCUGCAGCUCGCCCUUGGUCGUGAAGUCGAACGCCGAUGCAGGGCCACCGACGGCCUGCGCCCAGUUCACCAACUCCUGCCGGUCACCGUCCUGGUUCCACGACGGCUCACCGUUGCCGUCGUAACGCAUGUUGCUCCAUAUCUCGGCGACGACGAAGGACGGGUCGGUGUUGUCCACGUACGUCUUGGCGACGGUCGCCGAGUAUCCCUUGGCGAAGUCGAGGCGCCAGCCGUCGAAGCCGACGUCGGACUUGAGCCAGUUGAGCCAGUCGGAGAGCUCUGUCUGCACACGCGUGUUGAGGUGGUCGAUGUCGGGCGCCGCGCCGAAGUCUGCGCCAGUAUCGCGGUGACCGCGGCCGUUGGAGUACUGCGUGUCGUCGCUGCAGAUCAUGUCGGGACCCCAGUCGAGGCGGCUGUCCGGCGUGCCACCCUCGAAGAUGCAGUAGAUGCCACGGCUAUCCUUGUAAUCCGCGCACCGGUGGUUGAUGACGAUGUCGGCGACGCACUUGAUGCUCUUGCUGUGGAAGGCGGCGAUCAGCGACCUGAGCUCUGCCCCCGUCCCGUACUUGGACGCGUCCAGGUCGUAGAGCCGUCCCGGCAUGUAUCCCUGUGGCGCGACGGAGUGCGACGGCGGCGGGAGCCAGACGUGUGUGACUCCGGUCGCGGCGAUGUCGUCGACGUGGCUAUGGAGGAAGUUGUACCACCCACCCUGCUUCUUCCAUGACUCCCAGUUGAAUCCCUGCACCAACAUCAUGUCAACGUGCAGAUCAAAUGAUCAAUGAGACUCACCUGAAAGAGAACCUGAGCCUGGGCUAAGUGAGAGCCCAAACAGAGCAAGACGAAGAAUAGGAGGCAGCUCAUUGUGGUGGAAUGCUUUGCCAUUGCGUGUCUCAGAUACAAGCUGAGUUGUGUGGAUGGGGAAUGCUGGUGCAUGGGAAUUUAUAGGUGCAGCCCGGCAUGCAGACGUACCUCUCCGGGUGAAUUGAUUGUUCAAUUCGUUGGAUAAGUUCAGUUGCUCCUAACGAGAAACGCAACGGCACGGCGGCGACGAGUUGCGCUCAUUUAAAAGAGGAUAAAAAGGAGGCCAAUAGGAAGUUAGAUAAAGCCUUGGAUAGCGUUGUGGGCUCCAGGUAAAGCUUCCUUUUGUUCUUCCCGUUCCCGUUCCCUGGAGGAGGCGAGGCUGUUCCAGGCUGCAGCCUUCCUUCAUGCGAUCGUCUCUGUUGGCGCACAUCCACCUAAGGGCAGCUAGCUAAAACCAAUUCGAAUUUUGUUUCGCAAUUAAUGUUUUUUCUUUAUUUCCUAUGUUUGCUAGUUUUCUUCUUUGGUAUCCAAAUUACAUUAUACAAUUCAUCCAUCCAUCAUGAAUUUAAUUAUCCUUGUUGUACACGUACUUUUGCCGGACACUUCCUAGAAUUAGAGCCUCAUUGUUUUCUUUUUCAAGGGAA